rnacentral:misc_RNA from 1 species
UCUCCGUUGGUGAACCAGCGGAGGGAUCAUUACAGAGUUGAAAAACUCCCUAAACCACUGUGAAUCUUACCUGUCGUUCGUUGCUUCGGCGGGCGGCUCCAGGGCGGAGCCACUGCCCGUUAGGUCGGGCGCCCGCCGGAGGACACACAAAACUCGUCGAUCUAGUGUAUCAUCAGAGUAUUAAAAAACAAGCUAUCAAAACUUUCAGCAACGGAUCUCUUGGUUCUGGCAUCGAUGAAGAACGCAGC